GACGUAGGGCGCGAGCGUUGUCCGGAUUCAUUGGGCGUAAAGAGCGUGUAGGCGGCCAGGUAGGUCGGUUGUGAAAACUGGAGGCUCAACCUUCAGAGGUCGACCGAAACCAUCUGGCUAGAGUCCGGGAGAGGAGAGUGGAAUUCCUGGUGUAGCGGUGAAAUGCGCAGAUAAUCAGGAAGAACACCCGUGGCGAAAGCGGCUCUCUGGAACGGUACUGACGCUGAGACGCGAAAGCGUGGGGAGCGAACAGG
rnacentral:rRNA from 1 species